GGCUCUAUGUACUUCAUAAUCAUCCCAGAAAUCUGCUCGUAAAUAUUUUCCGGCUGUCCCUUCACAGGAACUCGAGUUAUCCCGGGAAGAUCGACCAUGAUUUGCAGUGAAACACAUUUAACAGUUAAGAGGGAGAUAGAGAGA